UUGCAUUUGAGACAGAAGAUUUGCAUUUGAGGCAGCAGUACACGCUCCUUGCCCUCAGAAGGGGAGCAGAAGGCAGCUCCAGCAGGGACACGUGAAUUCCAGGAGGGUUCUCCCUCAACAUACAGUGACCUCCCUCCAGUCUGCCACGCACCUGAAGACUCGCUGCUGGGCUGCACUGUGCAGAAGUCAAGGCUCAUGGCUAUGCCUGGGUGACAGAUAGGUCACAUUCUGCUGGAGAACUAAAACUAAGCCAGCCCACUGGACAACACAAUCAGCAGCAAGGUAGAAGGCCUUAGGUGUAUUUUUUACUCUGGUGAUGCCGAAGUGGAAACUUUUGGAUGGAACACAUACUUUAGCAGGAUUCACAGAAGACUAAAGGCUAGGACUUCAAUCUUUCAAGAUGCCAGAGGCAUGGCACCCUUCUCCCAGAUGAAGACUUCACUGAAAAUAUUCCACUGAGGUAAAACAUUGGAGGCAGUAACUCAAACUACAGCAUUGCCAGGAAAGAGUGGAGAUGUCUUCCCCCACCAUACUUACAGGAAGAGGAGCCCUGAAGGUCUAGUUUGAAAAAAAAAACUAGCUACAGCACGAGUCCACCCCAUUUGUAACGGGUGGAAUAAAACCUGUCCUGAAGCCACUGCUGUGCAUCUACCUGGCCUGAUCGCCUACACCCAUCUCACCACAGCCGCUCGAGCAAGUCUAGUCUCCACAUCCUCCGGACAUAACUAAGACACCAGAAACCCUAGAGCUACAUCAAGCAAAAGAAAACAAGCUCACUAGUGUAUAACCACACCUCACUGCCCAAAGGAUAUGAAUUUUGCUUACUGAUGAGUUACCGCGUACCAACACCCACUGCUCCGUCGUUAAUGAGCUGAAGACAUCAACACAGCUUUUCAUUAAGUCGGACUACUUUCAAGCCUCCCGAAUGCCUUCCAAAAACAAAGGGAUGACCGACUCCUCCUCCCGUGCUUGUUCAUAUUUGCUCAGUUUACUGUCCAACACUAUGGCAAGGCAAGUAUCAACAGCUUGGCUGAAGAUGUACAGUUUGGCUGAUGAGAGAUUUAAGAGGUCUUAAGACGUAUGAGGUUCAAACCUCUGAGGAUCUACUGAAGAUCUAGAAAUUAAGGACAGUCAAACCUUUAGUCGA